AUCCUUGUUAGCUGGAUCAUCCUUAAUAUUGUUUUACAAAAACAGAAGACUUAGGCACAGAGGUGAAGUAAUUCAUUCAAGGUCAAGCUGCUGCUAAGUAGUAGAGCCAGGAUUAUAACCAAGGAUCCAGGAUGAAGGAGCACCCCCUAUUUAUGACAUACUGUUCUCUUGGCAGAGAGAAAAGAGCAAGAGCUGGUGGAAACUCACAAAGCUCUUAAAACUUCUACUUGGAACUGGAACUUUCUCAUAUUUCAUUGGCCAAAUUAUCAAGUGGGAAUCCUGUAUAUGAAAAAUACUAUAGACAGGUAAG